CUUGGUGAUGGACAGGGAGGCCUGGCCUGCUGCAGUCCCCGGGGUCACAAAGAUUCGGACAGAAACGAGUAACUGAACAAUCAAGUGUGUAUUGAGCACUUGGGAGGUCGGGGUGUCAUCAUCUGAGUUUUGGGGGAAGACACCAUUCAGUCCCACGAGGGUCAAGACUUGACGCAGGCGUGUUGGCUGUGUGAGUACCUGCUUCCUUUCCGUGCUCCUUGGGAUAGUUCUCUCUAUUCCUUAUUUUAUAUCCAUGCAUUCUUCUCCCACUGCCCUUUUUUGUGGUUCCCCUUAAAGUUUUUCUUUAAUUGGAGGGUAAUUGCUUUACAAUGUUGUAUUGCUUUCUUCCAUAAAACAGCGUGACUCAUCAUAACUCUGUAUAUAUCCCCUCCCUCUCGAGCCUCCAUCCCUACACACCUUUCUUAAGUAGCAGUUUUAUAGACAAAAUUUCUUUUUCCAUUUUUGAAAUGGAGAUAUAACGGACAUAUAACCAGGCAGAUUUUCUGAUUAGUAUAUAGGAACUUUAAAAGGAAAAUAUUAAAAGGUGAAGAAAAGGUUUUACCUAAGAAUUAAGAAACAUGGACCUAGACAAUCUUUGGCUUAAGGAGACAAAUCCAAAGGGAAAUUUUUGUUGCUUAAAGGCACUAAAGAGGAGAUAAUGUAAAAACUAAAACCAAUGACCUAGCAAAGGCUGUCCUGAGAAGAAAGUUUAUGACCUGUUACAAUUCUCUUUUAAUUGGAGAAAUAAGGCUAAAAAUAAGUGAACAAAGGAUUUCUCUUAAAAAACUAGUGAAAUGACAAUAAAACCAACCAACCAAACAAAAAUCCCUUGUAGUCUGUGUGUUACUAGCUCGGCCGUAUCUGACUCUUCUGUGACCCCAUGGGCUGAAGCUGCUAGACUCCUCUGUCCAGGGGGUUUUGCAGGCAUGGAUACUGGAGUGGGUUGCCCUUUCCUCCGCCAAGGGGAAUCUCCCCGGCCCAGGGAUCGAACCUGCCUCUCC
ensembl:lncRNA